AACGCUUGAAAGGGUGGUAAUACGGGGUGUUCUGGCUGUGCCGCAUGGUGUGGCUGGGAAAGAUUCACUUUUGUGGUGUUUUGGUGGGGGAUGGGCUCGCGGCCUAUCAGCUUGUUGGUGGGGUGAUGGCCUGCCAAGGCUUUGACGGGUAGCCGGCCUGAGAGGGUGGGCGGUCACACUGGGACUGAGAUACGGCCCAGACUCCUGCGGGAGGCAGCAGUGGGGGGUAUUGCACAAUGGGCGGAAGCCUGAUGCAGCGACGUCGCGUGAGGGAUGGAGGC
rnacentral:rRNA from 1 species